CCUUAAGCGGUGCAUCUGACAUGAACUGGAACAGGAACAGGAAUUUAUGGAUUGUUUAACCACCCCAGAAUUCCAAGGUUAGAUUUGAAAAAUCAUCUUUUAUUUAAAAGAACAGGUGGAUAACAAAACCAAGACAAAUCUCAAGUCAACAAGAAUGCUCGGGAGAAAAAGUAAAGGGGACAAAUCAAAAUACAAGUUCACAAAGAAUACAGAAUAUAUUUUGCUGCAACUCCUAUUUUUUCCAUUCAUCAUUUGUUAGGAUCUCAAGAACAUGUAGUGUAUGCAGUGCUGGCAUAUGCUUAAUGAUCCUUUUACCAAACAAAUGUCUUAAAUGCAAAUGAAGAAAUUAGUUAAUAUUGAUGAUGCUGUUACAUUAAAUCUAUUUAAUAUCACACUGUGUUUCUGAAAUGAGGUGCUUUCCUAAUAGUAACUUAAAGACUUGCUGAAGAAAGAUUUGAAAUUAAGAAUGGCCAAGUCUGCUCCUGACCCACUUUUUAAGAUGUAAAAAUAAAAGGAUUGUCCAAAGUUAGGAAUAGGAUUUAAUAUGACCAAUCCACUUAAAUAUAAGCAAGUAUUACAAUAUAUUUUACUGCAAAAAGUCCUAAUUUCACAUACAAUUUGGGAUACAAGAUGAUAAUAACUGGUCAGAAUAAGGAUCUUGAAUCUGUGAUGAAAAACUCUUUGUACAGUUGCCAAAAGAUUAAAAAUUAGCAAUUGCAGAAUGAUUUGUCUCAAAUAUAUACAUUUAAAAGUUUGAAUGUAUGCUUCGGAUUAUUAGGAAACUAUAUCAUGUUUUUAUUAAACUUUAAAUCUGAGAACAUCUAGAAUAUAAUGUACAAUUAUAGUAAACUCCAAAAGAGUACUAUACAGCAAAUAAAAUGUUCAAAAGGAAGAUUUCCCCUAUGAAAAAACAUUACACUUAGUCAGUAAAUUUAUAGUUUAGAUGAAGCUAAGAACAUGAUAAAAAAGAUAAGAUUAUGUUAGCAGAUAUAACCUUUUGACCAAAUACAGCACAUUAUUUAGCAUUAGUUAGUGUUAGCCAGUUUGGUCUAGUGGUUAAAGGCACCAGGCUUGAAAGUGGGAGACUGUGAGUUCAAUUCCCACUUUAGCCAUGAAAGCCAGCUUGGGUGACUUUGGGCCAGUCGUUCUCUCUCAGCCUAACGCACCUCAUAGGGUUGAUAGCUUGGAGGAAGAAGGUGUUUGCUACCUUGAAUUAUUUGUAAAAAUAAUUA